rnacentral:rRNA from 1 species
GUGGGGAAUCUUCCGCAAUGGACGAAAGUCUGACGGAGCAACGCCGCGUGAGUGAAGAAGGUUUUCGGAUCGCAAAGCUCUUUCGUUAGGGACGAACGUGCUCUUUGUGAAUAAUGAGGAGUAAUGACGGUACCUAAAUAAGAAGCCACGGCUAACUACGUGCCAGCAGCCGCGGUAAUACGUAGGUGGCAAGCGUUGUCCGGAAUUAUUGGGCGUAAAGCGCGCGCAGGCGGGAUAUCAAGUCUGUCUUAAAAGUGCGAGGCUCAACCUCGUGAGGGGACAGAAACUGGUAUUCUUGAGUGUCGGAGAGGAAAGUGGAAUUCCAAGUGUAGCGGUGAAAUGCGUAGAGAUUUGGAAGAACACCAGUGGCGAAGGCGACUUUCUGGACGAUGUCUGACGCUGAGGCGCGAAAGCUAGGGGAGCGAACGGGAUUAGAAACCCUGGUAGUCC